CGCGCAGGCGGUUCGUCAAGUCCCGUGUGAAAGCCCCCCGGCUCAACUGGGGAAUUGCGCGGGAAACUAGCGAGCUUGAGUUCGGGAGAGGGAAGCGGAAUUCCGGGUGUAGCGGUGAAAUGCGCAGAUAUCCGGAGGAACACCAGUGGCGAAGGCGGCUUCCUGGACCGAUACUGACGCUGAGGCGCGAAAGCCAGGGGAGCGAACG
rnacentral:rRNA from 1 species